GGGGGGGGGGCAAGACAAUCUUACAGCCUUGCUCAUCGGCCAGUCCAGGCUCCGAGUGACCAUGUUACUACGUCGCUUCCCACUGUUCCUGCUGGCGCUGGAAUGCAUCUUUCCUCGUGCCUCCAGCCGGUCGGCGGGUGAGAGGAGGCAGUGCGCCUUCCAGGUCACCCCGCAGAACAGUGAAUACCUGAAAGCGGGCAACGUGAGCGGCUCGGUGCAGCUGUGCGAGUACACCGACUGCUGCGUGGGCUACUACGUUGCCGUCCGAGGGCAACUGCACGUCGACGUCCUCGCGUGCGACGUGACCGAAAAGUCUUGCCCGGAGGCCACCUGUAAGGCGCAGACGCGCUUCAACAAGCAGGUGGUGAAGUGUGUGUGCAGCGCGCACCUCUGCAACCGCAACCUCACGUGGACCGAUCAGCCCGAAGGCCCGGUGCCCUCCGCCUCCGUGGAUGAAACCUGGGUUGUCAUUGUCGCCAUUGUGCUGGUCCUGUGCCUGGCGCUCGUGGCGGCGCAACUGAGAUGUCUCUCGCGACACAAAAAGAAAACCCAAGCUUCCCUCAGCACCUCUCCAAUGUGUGCCUGCCAAACAACGCAACUGUCCCAGAUUGACGUCGCCGAUGUUCAACUGCAUCAGAUCGCGGGCCGCGGGCAUUUUGCCACGGUGUGGCGAGCCACGUAUCGAGGAUCCGCGGUGGCCGCCAAAGUUAUCCCCGCCGCCGCAAAGCACGUGUUCAUCUCUGAGAAGGACGUCUACGAGCUCCCGCUGAUGAACCACGCCAGCAUCAUCCACUUCCUGGGCGCCGGGAGGUCUGACGACGGCAGCUGGCUCCUUGUCUUGCAAUUUGCGGAAUAUGGCUCUCUGCACUCGUUCCUGCGUCUGCACACCAGCAGCUGGCCAACGUCUCUCAAGCUGUGCUUGUCUUUAUCACAGGGCCUCUCCUAUCUCCACUCGGAUCUGCACACGCAAGAUUCUGCUUUUUCAGAAGGUCACAAACCUCCAGUGGCCCACAGAGACUUGUGCAGCUUCAAUGUUCUCGUCCGGGGAGACGGCACCUGUGCCCUGUGUGACUUCGGCAACUCCGCCAUCCUGCGCUCGCACUCGGGCCACCGGCAAGCGGGAAACGCAAUGGGUCACGCUCAAACGCCGGGCACCCUGUGCUACAUGUCCCCCGAGAUCUUGGAGGGUUCUGUGAACCUCAGCGGCUGGUGUCUGCACGGGGACGUCUACGCUUUGGGUUUGGUGCUCUGGGAGAUCUGCAUGCGCUGCUCCGACUUUUUCGAAGAGGCCGUGCAGUGCCUGAGGGGUUGCCAUGUCUGCCUCACACGUCUGAGCUUAGGGGCUCAAAUCUCAGCUGCAGCAUUUCUGGUGCGGGGUUUGGAUGUUCUACCCCGUACUUGCGCGGGCAUCCUCCGGACGGUGGCGUGCCACAGCACCUGCUACCUUAUGAAGCCGAGCUGGGCGGCUUGUUGACAUGGGAGAGCCUCACCAUUCAUGUGUCCCACAAGGAGGUAAGACCCUCCAUACCCGACCAUUGGCAGCUCCUGAAACAGGGGCCGGCGCUGCAGGAUCUACUCAGAGAGUGUUGGGACUUGGACCCGGAUGCCAGGCUGACUGCUCAGUGUGUCGUGGACAGACUCGUCUCCCUUUAGUCACAUUCUUCAGGAUAACACUUUUUAAUUUUUUUUUUUUUUUACGCCUUGUCUAUUUGAGUCUUAAGAGACAUUUUAUGCAUUUUUUGCCCAGUUUGAAACUGUUCCAAUGUGUUUUAGAAUCAAUUAAGAAAUACCUAUCCAUCCAUUUUCUUUGCCGCUUAUCCUCACGAGGCGUGCUGGAGCCUAUUCCAGCUCUCAACGGGCAGGAGGCGGGGUACACCGUGAACUGGUUGCCAGCCAAUCGCAGGGCACACAGAGACAAACAUCUGCAUGCACAAUCACACCUAGGGGCAAUUUAGUGUCCAAUUAAUGUUGCAUGUUUUUGGGAUGUGGGAGGAAACCGGAGUUCCCGGAGAAAACCCACGCAGGCACGGGGAGAACAUGCAAACUCCACACAGGCGGGGCCGGGAUCGAACCCGGGUCCUCAGAACUGUGAGGCCAACGCUUUACCAGCUGAUUUGCCCAAUUACUGUAAGAAAUAUUUUUAGUUAAAAUAGUGAGGUAAUGAAUGAGGAACCUGAUUGGCAAUGUAACAUGCCACAUGUUGGGUUCUGCUCCAAAGUUCCCAACCGCCAAGUUGGGACCAAGUCCAAGUGUCCAGUUGGUUCUGAUGUUACGCCAUCAGCUGGUGGACCAGGAGUCCAUGUUCAAGCACUUUGAGGACCUUGAAACUGGAAAAAGGUGAUACAAGCAAAAGCCCAUUUACCAUCUAUCGAGGUGCUUGCUUUUAAUGUGUGCGACUCUGUUUCACCAACACGACACACAAACACUAGUGAAUUUUGACAUCAUUUAAAACGCAAGAAAGGCAGUUAUUUGCAUUACUGCACACAAAGUCUUCAAAUUUUCAAAGUGACUCAUUGAUGUGAAACCUUGCAGAAAUUGAACUGAAUUCACGUUAUUUUUACAAAAGUUUAAUUUAUUAUGAUUUUAUUUAAAGUGAUGUUGCGCAAUGUUUGAAUUUGCAUAUGUUUAUAUUUUUUGUGUUCUUGACAUUCAUGCUGUGAUUUAAAAAAUAAAAAUCACAAGAUGCUUA